CACAGGACUAUUGUGAGGUCACAGGAAAUAAUGCAAAUCUGAGAGCUUUGAGAACCGCAAAAUCCUAUUUGGCCAUGAAUUAUUAUUAUUUAUUUCAAAUAGUGAUUGCGAGACGUUAUCUUUCAUAAUAAUUAUCAACCUAUGCUGUGUUGGCCAGGUCCUGCACAGAAAUGAGCACCCUCCACCUAGACACCUUCCAGUGUCCCUGCCAAGAAGAGUCACUCUCAGGCACAUGCACAGAGCUGGAAAUCUAGGAUGCGUGGGAUUGCAUUUCUGUCUUGAAGGAGUUGAUAUUCUUGGAGAAUUCAGAAACUAAGCAGUCACAGCAGCACACAGGAAACAAGGAUGAAUAAGCCAGAGUAUCCACUUCCAAGAAAUUGAGUCCAUUAGGGGAGAUUAACAUUACGCAGCUGACUCUGGUACAAAAAUGAUAUGUGUGACAUUAACAAUGAUCCAGAGUGCAAUGGGGACACAGAGUUCAGAGCGGUCCAUUCUGCCAGAAAAGGCCCCACCCAGGAGUUGGUAUUUGAGUGCAUUGAGUGGAAGAGUAUCCUGGGCAGAGGGAACAGAGCAAGCUAAAGCGAGGGGCCGCAGGAAGAAUAUAACGUGUUCUAAGAGCCACGCACAAAGAGUUUGAAACUGCUGGAGGGUUUAUAGAAAGUGCUUCAGCACAAUCUUGGGGAUGUCAACAGCUCUCAGCUGCCACCCUCCACCUCAUUUGGCACGCUCCCUGAGGCUGUGGCCUGUGUCCACCUAAUGGGCCAGUACAACACCUGGCCAAGUGCCGAUGGCAUUGUGGGGCUUAAUGAAUUCCCUUUGAAGAUGAGAGGACUGUGAGGGAGAGAAGAAUUUGCCACUCAAGUGAGUCAACUGGAACGGAAGGUGUGUCCGGCCACUCAGGCCCUGCUCUCUGGCUAGUCGACUAGACAGCCCGGGCCACCUCCCCUGGGUCCAUGGGGUUCUACUAGGGAACAUCAAGUCUUUUUUCAGCAAGUAGUUCCUAAGCCACGACACUUUUGGCUCAUCCUGUAUUUGUAGUUUUACCAACAUAAUUGAUCCCAGAGCUAGGUCUCCGCCAUACCCAUUCGUUUCCUAGGGAGGGAUGGUAUAUUUAGGCUGCUUUUAGAACACCAACACAACCCAGCCUCCUGGAGAUAGCAUGGAAGGACAUGUAAGAGGCAGACUUAAAUAGUCCUGAGCUGUGUAGUCAUCCUUUUGGGUUCUCUAAGCUUCCUGUCCUGAGCUAAGGUUUUUCUCCUGGGGUUAGCUGAGGCACCAAGAGAUAAACAAAGCUUUAAAGGGACUCUCCCCAUUGGAAAGCUGCACUGGAACCCAAGACGCUGCUUCGCCCUACCUUCCGAUGAGUGCAUCCAGCCUUCCAAUGAGUACACCCCUGUGUAGACUCUCUGAGGUGUGUGUGGGGCAGGGGGGGGGCGGGGGGAGGAAAGACCACACAAGCAUGAAACUUCUCUAAAAUGCCCUUCUUCAUACGUUGGGUCUACAAAAUGUCAAAACAGCCAGGUAAAUAACGCUAGGAUUCAUCAUGGCAGUGGGCAACCAGUCAACCCUGAUAUUUAACUCUGAGCCACCCAAACAACUCUUGGUGACUAAGGUUUUUUCCACUUACACCGGAUUCUUCUGCUUUCACCACACAAUUAUAUUAGCAAAUGAGAUCCCUGAGUAAGCAAAAUAGGCCCUUCACACACACAUUCCUUAGCCUACUACAGAUAAUUCAGAGCCAGGGAACAUUCAUUCACAUAAGCUUUUCAAAAUACACCUCCAAGCCAUUUUCACCAUGGAAUUGCUGUGAUCUCAAAAACCAAGCGUGUGCAAAAGCAGGCAGCCAGUGGUUUGCAAGAGAAUGAGAACUGAGCAAUGAACAAAAUUAACACUUACAACUUAUGUAACCGGCAAAAGAUUAACACCCAGAAUAUGGGGGAAGGAGGAGGCCCCUGCACAUCCAUAAGAAGGAGA